UACGUAGGGCGCAAGCGUUGUCCGGAAUUAUUGGGCGUAAAGGGCUCGUAGGUGGCCAACUAAGUCAGACGUGAAAUCCCACGGCUUAACCGGGGAACUGCGUCUGAUACUGGAUGGCUUGAGUUUGGGAGAGGGAUGCGGAAUUCCAGGUGUAGCGGUGAAAUGCGUAGAUAUCUGGAGGAACACCGGUGGCGAAGGCGGCAUCCUGGACCAACACUGACACUGAGGAGCGAAAGCCAGGGGAGCAAACGGG
rnacentral:rRNA from 1 species